rnacentral:rRNA from 1 species
GGCCUACGGGGGGCAGCAGUGGGGAAUAUUGCACAAUGGGGGAAACCCUGAUGCAGCAACGCCGCGUGAGUGAAGAAGUAUUUCGGUAUGUAAAGCUCUAUCAGCAGGGAAGAGAAUGACGGUACCUGACUAAGAAGCCCCGGCUAACUACGUGCCAGCAGCCGCGGUAAUACGUAGGGGGCGAGCGUUAUCCGGAUUUACUGGGUGUAAAGGGAGCGUAGACGGCGAGGUAAGCCUGAAGUGGAAGCCCGCGGCCCAACCGCGGAACUGCUUUGGGAACUGUUUUGCUGGA